GUGAGGAAUAUUGGUCAAUGGGCGGGAGCCUGAACCAGCCAAGUCGCGUGAAGGAAGAAGGAUCUAUGGUUCGUAAACUUCUUUUGCAGGGGAAUAAAGUGCAGGACGUGUCCUGUUUUGUAUGUACCCUGAGAAUAAGGAUCGGCUAACUCCGUGCCAGCAGCCGCGGUAAUACGGAGGAUACGAGCGUUAUCCGGAUUUAUUGGGUUUAAAGGGUGCGUAGGUGGUUUGAUAAGUCAGCGGUGAAAGUUUGCAGGUUAACUGUAACAAUGCCGUUGUAACUGUCGGACUUGAGUGUAAAUGAGGUAGGCGGAAUGCGUGGUGUAGCGGUGAAAUGCAUAGAUAUCUCGCAGAACUCCGAUUGCGAAGGCAGCUUACUAAGCUACAACUGACACUGAAGCACGAAAGCGUGGGGAUCAAACAGGAUUAGAUACCCGUGUAGUCC
rnacentral:rRNA from 1 species